rnacentral:rRNA from 1 species
GAGUUUGAUCAUGGCUCAGAUUGAACGCUGGCGGCAUGCCUUACACAUGCAAGUCGAACGGCAGCACGGGUGCUUGCACCUGGUGGCGAGUGGCGAACGGGUGAGUAAUACAUCGGAACAUGUCCUGUAGUGGGGGAUAGCCCGGCGAAAGCCGGAUUAAUACCGCAUACGAUCUACGGAUGAAAGCGGGGGACCUUCGGGCCUCGCGCUAUAGGGUUGGCCGAUGGCUGAUUAGCUAGUUGGUGGGGUAAAGGCCUACCAAGGCGACGAUCAGUAGCUGGUCUGAGAGGACGACCAGCCACACUGGGACUGAGACACGGCCCAGACUCCUACGGGAGGCAGCAGUGGGGAAUUUUGGACAAUGGGCGAAAGCCUGAUCCAGCAAUGCCGCGUGUGUGAAGAAGGCCUUCGGGUUGUAAAGCACUUUUGUCCGGAAAGAAAUCCUUGGCUCUAAUACAGUCGGGGGAUGACGGUACCGGAAGAAUAAGCACCGGCUAACUACGUGCCAGCAGCCGCGGUAAUACGUAGGGUGCGAGCGUUAAUCGGAAUUACUGGGCGUAAAGCGUGCGCAGGCGGUUUGCUAAGACCGAUGUGAAAUCCCCGGGCUCAACCUGGGAACUGCAUUGGUGACUGGCAGGCUAGAGUAUGGCAGAGGGGGGUAGAACUCCACGUGUAGCAGUGAAAUGCGUAGAGAUGUGGAGGAAUACCGAUGGCGAAGGCAGCCCCCUGGGCCAAUACUGACGCUCAUGCACGAAAGCGUGGGGAGCAAACAGGAUUAGAUACCCUGGUAGUCCACGCCCUAAACGAUGUCAACUAGUUGUUGGGGAUUCAUUUCCUUAGUAACGUAGCUAACGCGUGAAGUUGACCGCCUGGGGAGUACGGUCGCAAGAUUAAAACUCAAAGGAAUUGACGGGGACCCGCACAAGCGGUGGAUGAUGUGGAUUAAUUCGAUGCAACGCGAAAAACCUUACCUACCCUUGACAUGGUCGGAAUCCCGCUGAGAGGUGGGAGUGCUCGAAAGAGAACCGGCGCACAGGUGCUGCAUGGCUGUCGUCAGCUCGUGUCGUGAGAUGUUGGGUUAAGUCCCGCAACGAGCGCAACCCUUGUCCUUAGUUGCUACGCAAGAGCACUCUAAGGAGACUGCCGGUGACAAACCGGAGGAAGGUGGGGAUGACGUCAAGUCCUCAUGGCCCUUAUGGGUAGGGCUUCACACGUCAUACAAUGGUCGGAACAGAGGGUUGCCAACCCGCGAGGGGGAGCUAAUCCCAGAAAACCGAUCGUAGUCCGGAUUGCACUCUGCAACCCGAGUGCAUGAAGCUGGAAUCGCUAGUAAUCGCGGAUCAGCAUGCCGCGGUGAAUACGU